rnacentral:tRNA from 18 species
GCUCCCUUCGUCUAGUGGCCCAGGACGUCGCCCUCUCACGGCGAAAACAGGGGUUCGAGUCCCCUAGGGAGCGCCA